GCUACAGGUGACGCAACAAAAAUAUCACAAUGAAUCGAGUGAUGCUGAUGGUAACCAUAUUUCUUGUCAUCAAUGCUGUGUGCUUGGAGAGUGUCACUGGAAAGGGAAGUUCUCACUCAGGUGGCCGCCAUCAUGGUCGUUCAGCCGAAGAGUCUUUACCAGUUCGAGCUUCCGUCGAAGAAAUUGAAAGAACCAAGCAGUCUACUCGCUCAAACUUUAAC